rnacentral:rRNA from 1 species
GAUGAACGCUGGCGGCGUGCCUAAUACAUGCAAGUCGAGCGAACAGACGAGGAGCUUGCUCCUCUGACGUUAGCGGCGGACGGGUGAGUAACACGUGGAUAACCUACCUAUAAGACUGGGAUAACUUCGGGAAACCGGAGCUAAUACCGGAUAACAUGUUGAACCGCAUGGUUCAACAGUGAAAGACGGUCUUGCGGUCACUUAUAGAUGGAUCCGCGCCGCAUUAGCUAGUUGGUAAGGUAACGGGUUACCAAGGCAACGAUGCGUAGCCGACCUGAGAGGGGGAUCGGCCACACUGGAACUGAGACAGGGUCCAGACUCCUACGGGAGGCAGCAGUAGGGAAUCUGCCGCAAUGGGCGAAAGCCUGACGGAGCAACGCCGCGUGAGUGAAGAAGGUCUUCGGAUCGUAAAACUCUGUUAUUAGGGAAGAACAAAUGUGUAAGUAACUAUGCACGUCUUGACGGUACCUAAUCAGAAAGCCACGGCUAACUACGUG